UCUUCUUUCAAAAUGCUCCUUCAAAACUUCGGUUUUGCCUAAUUUUUUUCCACAUCUCUUUCAGCUUUUCAUUCACCGUUGAAUAAAUGUUGUUUCAUACUACUUUCGACUUCAAAUUUUGGACGAAUUGAUAGUUUUGUUGCUACUUCUUUCCUGUUUUGAAGUUCCAACUAUCUCAUGGGAUGAGUUCUUUCAACUUUCAUCCAAUUUUCUACAUUCUUCAUGAUGCAAUUUCAGUUCUAUUUGUUUUGGCUCAGUGAUGCAGUUUUAUAUCAAUUUUGCAACUGUACAAGUUGGGUGAGAUUUCUCCAGCUAAGAGCCUGUUUGGAUGGACUUAUAAACCAAAAGCCGUAAGAAAUCCUUAUGAUGUUUGGCUUAUUUUUUAAUUUUGGAUUAAAAACAAGUGCUUUAAAGCACUUUCUAAUUUUACCGAAACACUAUAAAAGUGCUUAAAAGCAUCUAAAAUAAGUCGCUCCAAAACAGGCUCUAAUUCAUUCUAGGAUUGAUGAGCUAGGCUUUGUUAUGGAAAAAUAAUUGAAGCCUUAUAUCAGAAGUUAUGAUUUAUAAAAAUUUGAAUAUGUCUUUCGAGGAAAGAUUUUGUGUUGUUUAUAUAAAAUCUUGGCACUAUAAUCUAAAGUAAGACCGAAGAUCUCUUACAUA